AGGACGAACGCUGGCGGCGUGCUUAACACAUGCAAGUCGAGCGGUAAGGCCUUUCGGGGUACACGAGCGGCGAACGGGUGAGUAACACGUGGGUGAUCUGCCCUGCACUUCGGGAUAAGCCUGGGAAACUGGGUCUAAUACCGGAUAUGACCUCCUAUCGCAUGGUGGGUGGUGGAAAGAUUUAUCGGUGCAGGAUGGACCCGCGGCCUAUCAGCUUGUUGGUGGGGUAAUGGCCUACCAAGGCGACGACGGGUAGCCGACCUGAGAGGGUGACCGGCCACACUGGGACUGAGACACGGCCCAGACUCCUACGGGAGGCAGCAGUGGGGAAUAUGCACAAUGGGCGAAGGCCUGAUGCAGCGACGCCGCGUGAGGAUGACGGCCUUCGGGUGUAAACCUCUUUCAGCAGGACGAAGCGCAAGUGACGUACCUGCAGAAGAAGCAACCGGCUAACGACGUGCCAGCAGCCGC
rnacentral:rRNA from 1 species